rnacentral:rRNA from 1 species
UACGUAGGGCGCAAGCGUUAUCCGGAAUUAUUGGGCGUAAAGGGCUCGUAGGCGGUUUGUCGCGUCGGGAGUGAAAUCCACUGGCUUAACUGGUGGCUUGCUUUCGAUACGGGCAGACUGGAGUUCGGUAGGGGAGACUGGAAUUCCUGGUGUAGCGGUGAAAUGCGCAGAUAUCAGGAGGAACACCGGUGGCGAAGGCGGGUCUCUGGGCCGAUACUGACGCUGAGGAGCGAAAGCGUGGGGAGCGAACAGG